rnacentral:lncRNA from 1 species
AUGGCUCGACACCUGGGAAUGUGGCCGGCAGUGGAAGCCUGCUCAGCUCUUCUUAAGGAGCAGGAACAGCAGUUCCAUCCUGGCAAGGCCUUCGCAUCAGCCUGUUCCGGUUCAUGCUGCGAACGUCAUCACCAGAGAAGAGGAGAGGUUUUGGAAUUGGACAGCAUGAAUGAAAGCUUUAGUUUAACACUCGAUACGUCGGAGGAGUCUUUACACGAAAGUCCCAGGCGAAAUUUGCGCCACAUGCCUAAAAAUCAAGACCAAAAUGGCCUCCCUUUAAGUCCCUCGCACAGGAUGAAACUCAUGGACUUCAAAUCUCCGUCCUCCAAAAAAGCAAGUACGCCCCGUCACGGCGUUGCCACUUCACAGAGUUACUCACCCAUGUCGCCGUCAAACACCCGUCUUCUCCGUUCUUCUCCCAAAGCUGCCAAGGAGGUUCAGCGAUGGCUGCCCGUGCCAGAGACCCCUCGACGAAACAAAAGGUCUCACUCUAUCGCCCAGCUCUCGUGCUCCCCCAGGUCGAGGCCAGGCAUUGCCUGCAGCCCAGUGAGAGUCAAACAGGAAGUGCAGGAGGUUGGGGAGGAUGAGGAGGAUUAUGAAAGAGCACAGGAGAAGUACAAGCUCAUGAAUGUCCUGGGCUUACAAAGGACUGCUCUGCUUCCUAGACCAGAGGACCUCAUUGGCUGGAGGCAAAAGAAACGCUUAAGGAAAUUAAAGGCCAACAAUUAUUCUCUGACCAAACGACGGAAACCCCGUUCAUCGUCCCCAGGACUAUCAUACAAAGAUAUGACCCUGUCACUUCCUCUUUGUAACCCCGUCAAUACCCGACUCCUCAGCAAGUGUGCCAACACCAAACCUCUGGGUUCAGCUGGCACAAAGCAGCAGAUCCCAGUCAAGAGGCGAAAAACUGCCCAACUCGUUCCGCCGACGGACCGCAGCAUGAGAAGUAAAGGGGUCUUGCCCGACCUGUUCCAGCACACGUCCAGGCCCGCCUUUGUGGGAAGAGAACUCAGACGCUCUGUGAGGAAGGGGGACGCUGCCCGCCGCCAUUCGCAGCAGUCUUUGAGGCGCAGCUCCAAAAAAAGUCUUGUGAGGAACACACCCAGGAUCAAAGCAGAACCUGUGGAACACUCUGUCUCAGAUGUCAGACUGUCAUCAAACUGUUGCUGUGACAACAAACCGUCAAUGUCCGUACCCUCACCGAGGACGCAGCUCAGAAACCGGGUCGCUGUAGACACCGUUAAAACUCUGCGUUACAACAGAAGCCGACCGGUCACCAAAGCCAAGCUCAGGAGGGGUUUCACAAACGAGGUGGACAAGACAAAGUGCAAGUCUAGAGAGGACGGAAGAAAAGGCCUGAAGAGGGUCCCCGGCACUGGACCAAAAGUGAAGAAGACCGAACCUAACGGGCUCCAGUUUUCAGAACGCGCUCCUCCGCCAUCAAUUUACAAUCACCCUCUGUACAGGGCCAUCAAAGAGGAGCCAGCCGAGCCCGUGCCGGUCGCACCUUUCCUUGAUCCUCCCUCACCAGACCUGGGCAAACGCCAGAGCAAGCCCCCCAUCAAACUCCUGGACUCUGGCUUUCUGUUCAACUUCUGUCGGCCAGCAGGGGGCGCUAUGGCCACUCUGAAGAAAGAAGAGGAGAGUGUCGAUAUCUGCUUAACACGAUCUGUGUCACAGGUCGAAGGGACAUUUGAGAGUGAAGAGUCCCCCCAUCGGACACUGAGGGCCAGAGGGCCACCUGUCCUCCCCGUGAAGAGAGAGAGGGCGGAGAGGAAUGUGACCCAAGGCGCGGCUCAGAGACCCAGGCUAAAGUCCCAAAGGCCCACAUUACACCUGGACAAAUGCGCUGCUUCAAAGACCACACAGACCUUGCCAAAGAGACAAAGCAAAGUCGUUGCGCUGAGCAGCAGGAGCUGCGUCCUGCUGGAUGCUGUACAACGAGCGCGUCUACGGCAGCUUCGGGGGCCUCGUAGUCAAGCACCCAAAGGUCCAAAGGCCACUCACUCCUGUCUGCAGUGCUCUGCCACCUACAAGGACUGUGAUGCCCUCACUAUGCAUCAGCUGAGGCACGUUGAUGGAAAGCACUGGCCCUGUCCGCUCUGUAGCAAGACGUUCUUCAGACUGAGGAAUGUAAGGAAUCACAUCCGCACCCACGACCCCAAGUUGUACAAAUGCCGGAGCUGCAUAGCUGCCGCCUCCUGAGGCAGCUGGAGGCGCCUGCUCCGUUACAGACACCGAG